UUAUUCUUCUGUCAAAAGCACCCAGUCACAUUGCAAGUGGAAAAAUUCGUUGCAAAGAACUUUUCCAAGUCUCUCAAGUUCUCGUGGACUUUACCUCGGACAUUUUUGCGCACUGCCGCACCUGAUGAGAUGCAACGUCAAACAGCCCUGGAAUAUUCUCUCUGAUAUUUUUUCGUAUUCCCUUCAACGGGCACCAGGGCACGGUUUUUUAAAUUAAA